rnacentral:rRNA from 1 species
GACGUGCUAAUCUGCGAUAAGCGUCGGUGAGGUGAUAUGAACCGUUAUAACCGGCGAUUUCCGAAUGGGGAAACCCAGUGUGUUUCGACACACUAUCAUUAACUGAAUCCAUAGGUUAAUGAGGCGAACCGGGGGAACUGAAACAUCUAAGUACCCCGAGGAAAAGAAAUCAACCGAGAUUCCCCCAGUAGCGGCGAGCGAACGGGGAGGAGCCCAGAGCCUGAAUCAGUGUGUGUGUUAGUGGAAGCGUCUGGAAAGGCGCGCGAUACAGGGUGACAGCCCCGUACACAAAAAUGCACAUAUUGUGAGCUCGAUGAGUAGGGCGGGACACGUGGUAUCCUGUCUGAAUAUGGGGGGACCAUCCUCCAAGGCUAAAUACUCCUGACUGACCGAUAGUGAACCAGUACCGUGAGGGAAAGGCGAAAAGAACCCCGGCGAGGGGAGUGAAAAAGAACCUGAAACCGUGUACGUACAAGCAGUGGGAGCCUCUUUAUGGGGUGACUGCGUACCUUUUGUAUAAUGGGUCAGCGACUUAUAUUCUGUAGCAAGGUUAACCGAAUAGGGGAGCCGAAGGGAAACCGAGUCUUAACUGGGCGUUAAGUUGCAGGGUAUAGACCCGAAACCCGGUGAUCUAGCCAUGGGCAGGUUGAAGGUUGGGUAACACUAACUGGAGGACCGAACCGACUAAUGUUGAAAAAUUAGCGGAUGACUUGUGGCUGGGGGUGAAAGGCCAAUCAAACCGGGAGAUAGCUGGUUCUCCCCGAAAGCUAUUUAGGUAGCGCCUCGUGAAUUCAUCUCCGGGGGUAGAGCACUGUUUCGGCAAGGGGGUCAUCCCGACUUACCAACCCGAUGCAAACUGCGAAUACCGGAGAAUGUUAUCACGGGAGACACACGGCGGGUGCUAACGUCCGUCGUGAAGAGGGAAACAACCCAGACCGCCAGCUAAGGUCCCAAAGUCAUGGUUAAGUGGGAAACGAUGUGGGAAGGCCCAGACAGCCAGGAUGUUGGCUUAGAAGCAGCCAUCAUUUAAAGAAAGCGUAAUAGCUCACUGGUCGAGUCGGCCUGCGCGGAAGAUGUAACGGGGCUAAACCAUGCACCGAAGCUGCGGCAGCGACACUAUGUGUUGUUGGGUAGGGGAGCGUUCUGUAAGCCUGUGAAGGUGGCCUGUGAGGGUUGCUGGAGGUAUCAGAAGUGCGAAUGCUGACAUAAGUAACGAUAAAGCGGGUGAAAAGCCCGCUCGCCGGAAGACCAAGGGUUCCUGUCCAACGUUAAUCGGGGCAGGGUGAGUCGACCCCUAAGGCGAGGCCGAAAGGCGUAGUCGAUGGGAAACAGGUUAAUAUUCCUGUACUUGGUGUUACUGCGAAGGGGGGACGGAGAAGGCUAUGUUGGCCGGGCGACGGUUGUCCCGGUUUAAGCGUGUAGGCUGGUUUUCCAGGCAAAUCCGGAAAACCAAGGCUGAGGCGUGAUGACGAGGCACUACGGUGCUGAAGCGACAAAUGCCCUGCUUCCAGGAAAAGCCUCUAAGCAUCAGGUAACAUCAAAUCGUACCCCAAACCGACACAGGUGGUCAGGUAGAGAAUACCAAGGCGCUUGAGAGAACUCGGGUGAAGGAACUAGGCAAAAUGGUGCCGUAACUUCGGGAGAAGGCACGCUGAUAUGUAGGUGAAGCGACUUGCUCGUGGAGCUGAAAUCAGUCGAAGAUACCAGCUGGCUGCAACUGUUUAUUAAAAACACAGCACUGUGCAAACACGAAAGUGGACGUAUACGGUGUGACGCCUGCCCGGUGCCGGAAGGUUAAUUGAUGGGGUUAGCGGUAACGCGAAGCUCUUGAUCGAAGCCCCGGUAAACGGCGGCCGUAACUAUAACGGUCCUAAGGUAGCGAAAUUCCUUGUCGGGUAAGUUCCGACCUGCACGAAUGGCGUAAUGAUGGCCAGGCUGUCUCCACCCGAGACUCAGUGAAAUUGAACUCGCUGUGAAGAUGCAGUGUACCCGCGGCAAGACGGAAAGACCCCGUGAACCUUUACUAUAGCUUGACACUGAACAUUGAGCCUUGAUGUGUAGGAUAGGUGGGAGGCUUUGAAGUGUGGACGCCAGUCUGCAUGGAGCCGACCUUGAAAUACCACCCUUUAAUGUUUGAUGUUCUAACGUUGGCCCGUAAUCCGGGUUGCGGACAGUGUCUGGUGGGUAGUUUGACUGGGGCGGUCUCCUCCUAAAGAGUAACGGAGGAGCACGAAGGUUGGCUAAUCCUGGUCGGACAUCAGGAGGUUAGUGCAAUGGCAUAAGCCAGCUUGACUGCGAGCGUGACGGCGCGAGCAGGUGCGAAAGCAGGUCAUAGUGAUCCGGUGGUUCUGAAUGGAAGGGCCAUCGCUCAACGGAUAAAAGGUACUCCGGGGAUAACAGGCUGAUACCGCCCAAGAGUUCAUAUCGACGGCGGUGUUUGGCACCUCGAUGUCGGCUCAUCACAUCCUGGGGCUGAAGUAGGUCCCAAGGGUAUGGCUGUUCGCCAUUUAAAGUGGUACGCGAGCUGGGUUUAGAACGUCGUGAGACAGUUCGGUCCCUAUCUGCCGUGGGCGCUGGAGAACUGAGGGGGGCUGCUCCUAGUACGAGAGGACCGGAGUGGACGCAUCACUGGUGUUCGGGUUGUCAUGCCAAUGGCACUGCCCGGUAGCUAAAUGCGGAAGAGAUAAGUGCUGAAAGCAUCUAAGCACGAAACUUGC